rnacentral:tRNA from 1 species
CCGACUGUAGCUCAAGAGUAGAGCCGCUGGCUGAUAACCGGCAGAUCGAGGUGCAAGUCCUCGCGGUCGGACCA